GAUGAACGCUGGCGGCGUGCCUAAUACAUGCAAGUCGAGCGAACAGACGAGGAGCUUGCUCCUUUGACGUUAGCGGCGGACGGGUGAGUAACACGUGGAUAACCUACCUAUAAGACUGGGAUAACUUCGGGAAACCGGAGCUAAUACCGGAUAACAUGUUGAACCGCAUGGUUCAACAGUGAAAGACGGUCUUGCUGUCACUUAUAGAUGGAUCCGCGCCGCAUUAGCUAGUUGGUAAGGUAACGGCUUACCAAGGCAACGAUGCGUAGCCGACCUGAGAGGGUGAUCGGCCACACUGGAACUGAGACACGGUCCAGACUCCUACGGGAGGCAGCAGUAGGGAAUCUUCCGCAAAGGGGGAAAGCCUGACGGAGCAACGCCGCGUGAGUGAAGAAGGUCUUCGGAUCGUAAAACUCUGUUAUUAGGGAAGAACAAAUGUGUAAGUAACUAUGCACGUCUUGACGGUACCUAAUCAGAAAGCCACGGCUAACUACGUG
rnacentral:rRNA from 1 species